rnacentral:lncRNA from 1 species
GUCGCUCACCUUGGUCUAUGUGACUAUUAAACAAAGGAAGCAGAUGGAUUCAUGACAAAAUUGUAUUUUGGUGAUGGUGAUGUGUUUGUACAUCUUACUUUACUGAACAUCCUUGCUGCUUACAAUUAUCUCUAUCUAUAAUGAACUUGGCCCAGUAGUUUCAGUGGAAAAUGUUAGUAAAAAUUUACAAAUUUUAUAAAAAUUGUUGAAAAUUGAAUAUAAAGGACAAUAACUCCUUAGGGGGUCAAUUGACCAUUUCGGUCAUGUUGACUUAUUUGUAAAUCUUACUUUGCUCUAUCUAUAAUAAUAUUCAAGACAAUAACCAAAAACAGCAAAAUUUCCUUAAAAUUACCAAUUCAACGGCAGGAACCCAACAACGGGUUGUCCGAUUUAUCUGAAAAUUUCGAGCAGAUAGAUCUUGACCUGAUAAACAAUUUAACCCCAUGUCAGAUUUGCUCUAAACGCUUUGGUUUUUGAGUUAUAAGCCAAAAACUGCAUUUUACCCCUAUGUUCUAUUUUUAGCCAUGGCGGCCAUCUUGGUUAAAUGGCCGGGUCAUCAGACACAUUUUUAAACUAGAUAUCACAAAGAUGAUUGUGGAUAAGUUUGGAUUAAUUUGGCCCAGUAGUUUCAGAGGAGAAGAUUUUUGUAAAAGAUUACUAAAAUUUACGAAAAAUGGUUAAAAAUUGACUAUAAAGGGCAAUAACUCCUAAAGGGGUCAACUGACCAUUUCGGUCAUGUUGACUUAUUUGUAAAUCUUACUUUGCUGAACAUAAUGGCUGUUUACAGUUUAUCUCUAUCUAUAAUAAUAUACAAGAUAAUAACCAAAAACAGCAAAAUUUCCUUAAAAUUACCAAUUCAGGGGCAGCAACCCAACAACAGGUUGUCAGAUUCAUCUGAAAAUUUCAGGGUAGAUAGAUCUUGACCUGAUAAACAAUUUUACCAAUAUCAGAUUUGCUCUAAAUGCUUUGGUUUUUGAGUUAUAAGCCAAAAACUGCAUUUUAUCCCUAUGUUCUAUUUUUAGCCGUGGCGGCCAUCUUGGUUGGUUAACCAGGUCACCGGACACAUUUUUAAAAC